rnacentral:lncRNA from 1 species
AGGCUCUCAGUUUGAGACCCACCUUCUUAUACACUAAGAAAGCUCAGGAGAAAAUGAGUGACCCCUGAGAAGGAAGGAGGGCCUUGGGGACCCUGUGACUACCGCUCCUCUAACACAGUAACACCACAAGGAAGUAGGGAUCCGAGGAUCCUCCAGGUCACCACUACACCACCUGGGGAGAUGCAGGGCUGCAAUGCAGCUCUGCCAGGGAGGGGUUAGGUGGGGUGUGAAGUUGCUCUGCAGGGCCAGGCAGUACUACCCGAUGGCCAGCCCCACCCAGAAGCCAGAGCGACCUAGGCCUCAGCUGCUCCCUCUCAGGCAGGGCGGAGUCACCCCUUAGGGACUGGACAGGACGCCCGGGGCGCAGCUGCAGUUCAUCCUCCACGAGAGGAAACCUGGCAGCCCAGGGAGGACUGGGGCCUGCAGACUUCGGGGCCGACAGCAGAGGUCCUGCGCCGCCACGGCGGGUUCCGAGGGUUCCACACCAUCUCUUCCCCCGUCUCUGAAUGCCGUAGCACACACUCACCAUUUUCGGCUUCCGGGGUUCCAGCGAUCUCCCGGUGGAUCUGCCACCGACGCAGGUCACGGGGCGAAGGGGAAAGAAGCAGAGUCACGUGAGCCAACAAAGCGGAAGAGAAGACUCGACCCUAAAAUGGCGCGGUCCGGAUACAAAGGCCCGGGAGUAGCCCGCCCCUUCCGCUCUGGUUGUGAGUCUGAUUGGACAGUUCUCAAUUGCCCUCAGCCUCUGAAUGACAGUAAAUGACACCAACCCGUGGUUGAGAAAGGCCAUCAACGCACGUUCUUGGCUGCAGCUAUUUUUUUUCCUUGCUGUGCUGGAUAUUGAACCCAGAGACUGUGGCUGGAGUUAUUUUUAAAUGAGGACUUCCUUCAUCUACUUGACACAUGGCUGGAUUCCUGGAAGGACAGCAGAGCGGAGAUGGGCCAUGUGUGCCUGUGUUCUUGCCUUCACUGCAAAACUGAACAACUGCAAAGCAAGCAGGUGUCUACCCUCAAGCUCAGGCCCUGCUGUCUCCUGCACUCACCCUGCACCCCACACUUCAUCACAGGCUAGCAGGGGCCAGGAUGCUGCUCUUUUCUUCAGCCAGGGGAUUGUGCUUCUCCCAAAGAAAGCCCUUCUGCAGCCUGAGCUGCUCAGGUGCCUUCCUGCCACUCCUUUCCUGCAUCCACCACAGAGCCUAGGAACCCAGAUCGGGCCCCUCACUGCCAGGAAAGUCUUUGCUGGAGAAUGUGGGCAUGAAGUUGCCAACCAAUCCAUAGGCAGGGACAUCAGGCACUAGAGGAACUUCACCAACAUCAUGCUCCUGGGCCAGCAGUAUGCCUCGCACCCUUUCCUGGUGAAGGUGCCAGUCUGCAUCCAAGUCCUCAUGGAGUUCAAAGCCAUCUUUGGCACUGACUUUGCUGCUAUGCAGAAGAUCAGGCCUGCUUUUCCCUUCCACUAGGAGCUUCCCCUGCGCCGGAUGUAGUCUCUCACUGCCUUUUCCUGUGUUCACAGUUUCACUGUGAGAAGGUGGGACUUUCCUGAUGGCCGACCUUACCACUGCUUGCCCCUGGGCUCCUCCUGUGCCCUACUCACAGGGCCUUAUUCUCAGGCCCAAGAAAGUGAAUCCCAUCUGGAAAGUUUGGAGUCCAGAAUAGCCUUCUAGAGUCAGCAGCCUGCUAGGAACCUGGCUUCCAGAGAAAAGACAGAAGCAGCUAAUUCAGCUCAUCCUGAAUAAACACUGGGCCUCUCGACCAUGCUCCCAUCUGACCUUUCCCAUUCAGUGCCGCUCAGGGUUGGCUUCCCACCCAGCCUUUGCAGGGACUGUGGGAGCAGCAGCCUCCACCACAGUACCUAGCAUCUCAGAGGUGAGGCUCAUCCUGCCUCUGCCCUUCCUAGCUAAAAUGAGCUGUUUUCCAGCUGUUUUGGACUAUUUACCUCUCAGCUAAACUAAAGAGGCCCCGUGUCCAGGCCCCUGGUGUCCAUAACCCCCUUCACAUCCAAGCUGCACCCAUCCCCUCACNNNNNNNNNNNNNNNNNNNNNNNNNNNNNNNNNNNNNNNNNNNNNNNNNNNNNNNNNNNNNNNNNNNNNNNNNNNNNNNNNNNNNNNUCUUCAGCCCUGCACUGCUGUUUCAUCUUCCUGGCUUGGCUUCAGUUCCUCCCUGGAAUCGGCAGCACUUCCCUCCCUCUCCCUCUCAGUCACUUGAGCAAACUCCAGGACACCUUCUGCACUGAUCAGGAGUCACACCAAGGGCCAUUAGCUGCUCAGCAUGACUAUUUUUAGAGACCUCGUGUCUGUCACUGAGACACUUUUUCCUGUGGAAACAUACCAUUCUCUCCCUCUACCUGCAACAGCUGCCCCUGCUCCCGGCACCUCUCUUCUCACCCUGACCCAGAGAAAGUGGCCUUGGUCUCCUCUGGCCACUGCCUGGAGUCCACGAGGAAGGAGGACAGUUCUGGCUCUGAGGAGAUAUUUGCUUCGACUGCCACGUCUUCCUGAGGAACAGUGCACAGCUGGCUUGGGCUCAGGUCUCUCGUUCCUCUUCUUUAUUGAUUCAUGGUGCUUUUCCUCUCAAAGCCUCUUUGAGGAGAAGAAUGCUCUGGUGAGGGGUGGGUAGGGCAUGGUCACGUCGGAGAGCCGACCACAGGCCAGUGGCACAUGGCACUUCCCAUGUGCCUGGAGUCACAGAGCUGGGACAGCCCUCCACAGUCUCCAGCCCUCCAUGGGCAGCAGUGGCUGAGAGCAGCAGGCCAAGAAGGCCCUCCUGGCUGCUUCCUCAGGAGCGCAGCCUGAGUGGGGGUUGAAGGAGGGAGGAAUGGUCCCAAGCCUCCCACCCGGGACGCCCAGUUGUCCUCCUCUUCUCCUAGAGGCCGCUGUAGGGGCAGCAGGGGCAGGGUGAGCCUGUCCUUUGGACAAAGGUUCCUCUCAGCCCUUCCCUAGUCCCUGUCCUAGGUUCUUCCCCAGAGGUACGUAGGUGGGAAAAGGCUAGUGAGGGAGAUUGGUGGGGAAGCUAGUUCACCUGGCCCCUGAGGAAAGAGGUUACGCAAAAUAUCCCCAGGCCCCGGCUAGGGAAGGCAGACCACUUGCCUUCCUUUGCCUGUCAAGACUGACCUGUUAAAGAGAUCCCACACUAGGUCCCCACCUUGGCCUGCAGCUCCCACUGCAACAGGAAAGCUGUAGAUGAGAGGGUACAGGGUGCAGGGGCCAAAUAAAAAUCUCCAAGUGUGGUCACAUACUCUGUUGGCUCCCCUGACCCCCAACACUUCCAGCUAUCUGUUCACUACAAGCUUGUGGAGCUUUGGGCUAUCCUUGAAUCCAGCACUGGCCUUAACAAAAUGUUUAUUGUCUGAGUCCUCACCACCGCACUGUAUGCAUGAUGACACUGCCCCAGAGAGGUUAGGCAAUUUGCCUGGGGUCUCAGGUCAAGGCAGAAACAGAGCUGGGGCACACACCCAACAGUGUUGAGUGCCAGGGCGCUGCUGCUUUACUCUCGGGUAGUGCAUGAUACCAGUGGCUGGGAUUCACAGUUAACAUAAGCUGAAGCAUCCAUAGGCUUAAACAAGUAGGGCUGCGCUCACCCCCAAGUCCUCUGUCUAAAAGUGUUUCAGACCCUAGGCCAUCAGCCCUUGGACAACUCUUGAUGCACAUUCUCUUUUGUCAUGGCUUGAACUGGGUGCGCUGAGAGGAAAUCUCCCCUAAGGAGUCCAUGGCCCAGGCAGGAGAGAUGAGGAUGUUAGGGUGGUCGUUCAGCCUUGCUACUAGCCUAACUGUGAGGUGCGCAGAGCACCCUCAGGGAUGCCAGUGGGGCCAGAGGGGCAGCUGAACUUUGGAUUGGCGUCUUCCUACUGCAGUGGGUGGAAGGUCCCCUCAUUUCAGUCCUGUCCUUCUGCAAUUCCCAUUCCUUGAUGCUGGACAGCUUGGCCUUGCCAGUGCCCCCAGCUUGGCAGAUGGACUCCAAGAGAAUGGCUUGGCCACUGGAGGGAAACUGAGAGGUCCUUGGAAGCUCUCUGACUGGAGCUGGGAGUUGGGGAAGGUUGUAAGGGAAGGCUGCUUGGGCAGGGCUGAGUGGGGACAGUCCUGCCCAGCCUAAAGUCAGGGUGACCUCAAGAGCCCCGCUGUGAGGGAGGGCGCCUCUUUUCCACAGCAGCAGCCAGGUGGUAAAGCUGGGGCUUCUGGGACUGUACAGACGUGUGCUUCUAUAGCCACUAAGUUCAGGGCUCUUCUGUCAGACAUCCCUGGCCCCACCCCAUUUAGGUGCCACUCUGCAACAAUGGACCCUGUGAAUGGCUGACUCGCUGAUAAGUGUGCCAACAUGACACAUGAGCCAACAAAGGAUUUCUGUGCUCUUUCUGGAGGUUGCAGAUAGAUUGGAAGAUAAAAUAUUAAAACUGAAAAUUUGAAAUUUCAAUUUUUAAUACUCCUCUUUUUGCCAUUGUUUUACCUGGGAAUGGGAGAGACAGGGCCCACCUUUUGAGGCUCCCUCUAGCCUGGAGGUUAGAAUUCCACAGCUCUACAGACAGUUUGGAAACCACUAUUCUAUGAAAGCUGGAAUAAAACAUUUGAAAGAAGAGCUUUUCUACAAAUCUGUGACUUAUGACUACUUAACCUGUAGAAGUUCCUUCAGAGAUCCAGAAACUGGAUAGCUCAAGGUGCCCACUUGGCUCACCCCCUACCUGAAGUGGGUACACUGCUGCUGCUGCUGCUGCUGCUCCUGCUGGUGCUGCUGCUGCUGCUGCUGUCCUCCCUGAGGCCUUGGCCAGCUGAGGCAGUAGUCUGGGGUAGGGGUAAGGAUGUGCUGGCCAGCACUGCAGGAGCUGGGGGGAGCAGUGAAGGUGGCAGCGGGGGACUAUGAGCGCCCUGUUCUCUAGAUCUGGAACACAGGUGUGAGACUGGAUGCCUGGGGGCGGAGGCUGAGCCAGGGAGUCUCCCGGCCCAAUCUUCACCCUGGCUCCCAGCUUACCUGGUUUGGGGGACUCAGCCACCUCUGUAUGGAAGGUAGGCAGUUCCAGAAUGGUCCCAGGGCAGAGGGGGUGAUGCCCAGGCCCAGGUCAGCACUGUGCAUGAGGUCAUCAGUGAGGCUGGGCAUGUUGGGCAGGUAGGGUAGCAUGCCAGUCCUAGGUGUGCCAGGCCACCAGGUGCGGCAUAUGUGGUCACCACCCAGGUCUGA